rnacentral:rRNA from 1 species
GCAUGCUUUACACAUGCAAGUCGAACGGUAACAGGGAGCUUGCUCCGCUGACGAGUGGCGAACGGGUGAGUAAUAUAUCGGAACGUACCCAAGAGUGGGGGAUAACGUAGCGAAAGUUACGCUAAUACCGCAUACGAUCUAUGGAUGAAAGCAGGGGACCUUCGGGCCUUGUGCUCCUGGAGCGGCCGAUAUCUGAUUAGCUAGUUGGUGAGGUAAAGGCUCACCAAGGCGACGAUCAGUAGCUGGUCUGAGAGGACGACCAGCCACACUGGAACUGAGACACGGUCCAGACUCCUACGGGAGGCAGCAGUGGGGAAUUUUGGACAAUGGGCGCAAGCCUGAUCCAGCAAUGCCGCGUGAGUGAAGAAGGCCUUCGGGUUGUAAAGCUCUUUUGUCAGGGAAGAAACGGCUGUGGCUAAUAUCCACGGCUAAUGACGGUACCUGAAGAAUAAGCACCGGCUAACUACGUGCCAGCAGCCGCGGUAAUACGUAGGGUGCAACCGUUAAUCGGAAUUACUGGGCGUAAAGCGUGCGCAGGCGGUUUUGUAAGUCUGUCGUGAAAUCCCCGGGCUCAACCUGGGAAUUGCGAUGGAGACUGCAAGGCUAGAAUCUGGCAGAGGGGGGUAGAAUUCCACGUGUAGCAGUGAAAUGCGUAGAGAUGUGGAGGAACACCGAUGGCGAAGGCAGCCCCCUGGGUCAAGAUUGACGCUCAUGCACGAAAGCGUGGGGAGCAAACAGGAUUAGAUACCCUGGUAGUCCACGCCCUAAACGAUGUCUACUAGUUGUCGGGUUUUAAUUAACUUGGUAACGCAGCUAACGCGUGAAGUAGACCGCCUGGGGAGUACGGUCGCAAGAUUAAAACUCAAAGGAAUUGACGGGGACCCGCACAAGCGGUGGAUGAUGUGGAUUAAUUCGAUGCAAC